GCGGAGCCCGGCGCCUGGAGCGGAAGAUGGCAGAGGACCAGCGUCUGGGCGCGCAGAGGCCACGGGCGCGGAGGGGGCGGUCUGAUGUGACUCCCCUCCCGCCCAGGCAGGCAGGCAGACUCAUGCCAACUGGCACGAGAAUGAGAUGAAGGUAAACGUGGAAGACGUUCUCAGUCUGCCGUGAGAAUUCCUGUCCUGGCGACUAGAAAUGUUCUAAGUGUGAGUGAUCCGCGCUGCCGGGGAAGCCGGGCUCAGGACCAGCAGCCACGUGACCGGCUCUCCGUGAGAAACGCUGUGAGACACCCCGGGAGCCGACGGAUCAGCCAGCACCCCUUCCCGUCCACAGGCAGGGCUGGCUGGGCAUGUCCACGGGGCGUGGUGGUCGUGGAAUCAGAAGGAGAGCCUUAGAACAGAUGCUAAACGGCCCCACCUCACCAUCGAGGUGCCUCAUCCCUAGAACCAGGAUCCUCCCAGAGUCCCGACCGCAAAGCCCCUGCACCUCCACCAUCGGGAUCCCACCCUCCCAGGCUCCCUGUACCCAGCUCAUGUUGGAAGCCACAGUCCCAGCCAGAGGGCAGGGAGGACUGAAAGUCUGCAGCCUGGUCCUGGCCCUGGGAGGGUCCGCCCACAUUUGCCCCAAGGCCUCCUCUUACACCCAUCCCGUGACUGAGAAACCCUCAUCCUGAGGUAUUCAGACAUUCCCAGGAACUCAACCUGGUGAAGGAGUUUCCAAGCCUGGGAAUCACUUUCCAGCAAGUCUGCACAUCUCUGAUCUAAACACUCUUUAUGUUGGUUUUAAUAACAGCACCCAAUGAACAGGCUUACUUCCCUCUUCUCCAAGUUCUCGGGAGAUACCUCAAGGUCCAUCUAAUAAACAUUUGUAUAUGUCAGUAGUUUCUCUCUUUCAGCUUCCAGCAUUUAAAGCCAACACUGAAUGUUUGGAGUGGGGACAGGGGAGCAGCAGUUCAUGCUGCUCCGGAGCAGUGGAUUAGACCGAGAUUCCGACACUGGGGCAACAAGGUAAAGCAUUUGAACGGACAAGCUCCCGGCAAGUUGAGAAAUGUAUGGUCACAGAUGACGGCAGCCACGACCAUAAUGAUCCUAUCAAGAUGUGAUACCUCCAGGGAACUCUGUCGUAUCCGGCAUCAUCUCAGAAGGAUCUGCCAGCCGCUCAGGCUGAGUGAUCAGCAAGGGACAAAUCUUCAGGUGGCCGGCAGGCUGCGGGGAGGCCAGACGUCCCCUCGGGCCUCACAGACAGCUGGAUUUCAGCUCCACGAAGUGCAGAGAGACAGAGGAGUCAGAGCCCCUGCUGCCCCACAGAGCAGAGGAGUCUGUGCCGCUGAUGACCCGAGAAGGCAUUUCUGUCUCAGGACUGAAGCGAGGGCAGGUCCUUCGGGGCAUUCUAACUAAAGACACCCAGGGCCUUGGUCACCUGCUGCUACUCCCACCUGAGGCCAUCCUGCAAGGCUCCACAGCUCAGGAGAGGAUGUGCCAGGCCUGAAAGGUGAAAACGUCAAGAACUCUUCAUCCAUGACGUUGCACAAGGAGCCUAAGCUUGAGUGUGAGGCUGACCUGGGUUCGAAUCCCAACUCUCUCCCUUGCCCGCUAUGCGACUUCAAGGGAGAUGCUUGAUUCAACUUCCUCAGCUUAUAAUGGAGAAUAACAAUCGUGGGCACCUGGUGGGUUGUGGGAUUACCUGAGAACAUAGGAGACACGCCUGGUUCAGAGCAGACUCUACCUAAAUAUUGGUUCCCUGGCGGUUCCCUCCUGUAGGGUGGAAACAGAAGGUCCGACGUAGGCUCUCAAAGCACUAGGUUUUGCCACGUUAUACUUCUGGCUCUGACACAGACUUACUCAUGUCUGCUCUCUGGGUCUUUAAAAUAAGGGGACCUGAACAAGGUAUGGAAUUCCAGCAUUCCACCUUGCCAUUUUUCAGGACAUGGGAAAACUGAGUUGUUUUCUAAAGAAUGACUGCAAAAUUUCAACAAAAGCUGUCCCGACUCUUUUCCUCUUGACCCUCCCCAGAGAGACGGGAAUGUCUGGGAGGGGCAGAGCAAGUCUAAGGAAGGCCCCUCAGAGUCAUCUGCAGAAUUUUCUAAAUCCUCCACACCACUGCCCUCCAGAAAGCAGACAGAGUCUCGGCUGCAUUUCCAACAUUCUGCCUCCACAGGGAAGAAGCUGCAGCACUGCUUUCCCUCAUUAAGAUGCUCGGCCAUUGUCAGACAUCCCAGGCCAGAGAGUGGGCUCCGCAGAGCAGGUAUGGGGAUUCAGCUGCCCCGGAGAAGCCAGCUAGCCGCAGGUCAGUGUGGGCAGCUGGGCUUCUUAUUCAAGGUGAUGUAAUUCGCUGGCCUGGAAAGUUCACUGCCUCCGUGAAGGAAUCAGCCUCCCCGUUUCUGCCAGGGGAUUAAAAUAUUCGGUGAAAAACAUUGCUGAGAAUCAAAGGGAACCAGUGCAAAACGUGUCCUGAAAUAACUCCUGGGCUGCCCCUCUGACAACUCUUCACCCCGAGCUUCUGGUAGCAACAUCAAGUUCAGGAAAGACCCAGGAGUGCAAUUUCUUUCCCUCUCCUACAAAGACCAUGCUUUUUCCGGAAGACAUUUUCCCCCUUGACAACUAUUCUAAGAAUGCAAGGAGAGUCCUUCUUUUCUUCUAAAAAUCAUGCCUCCAGACUGGGAGCUGUGCUAACACGCCUGCACCAACAGCUGAGCCGAGUCGACAAGACGCCGCUGAUGUGAAGAUCUGAGAGCACAGAAGGGAUGGAUUUGGAACUGCAACCCCACCCCAAGGUCCCUCUCACGAGCUAUUUCAAGUGCAUUUGAAGUGAUUCUGUUCAUUGGAAUCCAUGCAUCUCCCUGCCUCUGAGAAACUGGAUAAAUUCUGCACUGACCCUUGUUCCGAGGUCUGUAGACGUCCACGCGUCUGGUGGGGGGCCAGGAAGAUGUUAUGUUAAUGUCCUCAAGGUCACCUCUGGCCCUCAAGUUAUGGUCUGUGCCCCCUCCCAUCUCCUCCCAAGCACACCCUCUGUUGCUCGGACCUGGACUCUGCAGUUUCUACACACACACACACACACACACACACAUACGGCAUGGUACCACUCAUGUACGGCAUUUGUGUGUUUCAAAAUUUUUAUGGGGCAAUUGGAGUCAGGGAAGGAGCGCCUGGGCAGAGAUUACUACCUGUUCACCACAAUAGGCUCCCUUCCUCUGGGCACAUAGACUACAUAUCCCACCUGCCCUUGCAGUGUAAUUUGAUCAUGUGACCUGAGUUCUAGCCAAUGGAAGGAGAGCAGAAGUGAACACGUCUCAGUCUAGGCAUACAAUAGAAUAUUUUCUGGCAUUAAAAAGAAACGAAGUACUGACCCAAGCUGAACCUCAAAAACAUUAUGUCAGGAUGAACCUCAAAAACAUACUCAGUGAAAGACAUAAGAGACCACAUGGUUUUAUGGUUUUACAUACAUGAAAUGUUCAGAAUAGGCAAAUCUAUAGAGAUGAAAAGUAGAUUAUUGAUUACCUACUGGGUAGGAACAGUAAAUGGUUACAAGGGAUCUUAUGUGGGGUUAAUGUGGAGGGGAUAGUAAAAAUGUUCUAAAGUUACUAAAAAAUUACUGAAUGAUACAUUCAAUGAAAUGGGCAAAUUUUAUGAUAUACAAAAUAUACCUCAAUGAAGUUGUUAAAAAAUAAAUAGAAGAAGUGAGCAUGCCAUUUCCAGGACUGGUCUGUAAAAACCUCCCACAUGUUUUGCUCCAGGCCCUUUCCCUUCACCCUGGCUGAUUCAGACUGUGGUGGAGAAGAGACCGAGGAGCCUGGGUCCCUGAGUGACUCCGUGGAGUACAGCCACACCCACCAUGCUCAUCUGUGAGCAGGAAGUGAACUGCUCUAUGUUGAACCACUACUUGUUUGAAUUUUGUUGUUACAGUAAUUCCCUUGCAUGAAUUUGUACAGACAGUUCCAGGGCAACCACCGUAUUUCCAUCUGAAUGGCAUUCUGGUUCUUUGGUAACUACCAACACUGGAGCUGUGUUUCUUCCAGAAGCCCUUCAUUUUCCUCACAUCUCACUGGGUCCUCUCUUCCACUUCACCCCUUCCCCAGUACCUCUUGAAUUGCCUUCAGGAACUCCAGGUCCUUCUCUCUCAGUCAUGUAGAGCAUCCAAGUCAGUAGAUGACCAAGCAUGGCAGGUUGUUUCCAGGGCAACCAGGGGAGAGAAAAAGGAGGUGAGGAAAUUAUCCCUGUGAGUGCUGGGGGGUGGGGGCUGAGCCCUUUGUGGGGUGCGGGAAGGCGGGAAACUUAUGGCGUCAGAUUCUACCAAACUCUGCUGCCUUUUUCCCAUCUCAAGCACCCAAGUGUUCCUGCAUCUCCAGAACUGAGAUGGCAAGAGGUUGGUAGGAAUCAAAAACAUUCUUUGAGUUGUAAAAGAGAAAAGAUAUUGAAUGUUAGCAUGGAAGAGAUAUCGAAACAAAGAGAUACCUCCAAGCUACAAGGAUCUGUGUACAGCAUGUGGAAUAUAGCCAAUAUUUUAUAAUAAUAUAAAUGGAAUAGAACCUUUAAAAAUUGUGACUCACUAUCCUGUACGCCUGUAAUUUAUAUAACGUACAUCAACUGUACA